rnacentral:sRNA from 1 species
UAACAGCUUCGAUGCGGGACAUGGCGUCC